GGACCCGUAGCUCAGCCUGGAUCAGAGCGGCGGCCUGCGGUGGCCGGCGCCGCCGAGAGCCGUAGGUCGUGGGUUCAAAUCCCACCGGGUCCG
rnacentral:tRNA from 1 species